UUAACCGCGAGGUUUGGUCCAGAGGAAGCCGCUAGCAAAAUUGCGAGCUGAUGAAUAAGAACAUCAUAUGUGGCGCUGGCUGGAGGCGAGUUGGCACAAGACAACGAAGCCAAGUGAUCGGUCUAUAACCAGUAAGGUUUUGCCACGACAAUUAGAUGU
rnacentral:ncRNA from 1 species